rnacentral:rRNA from 1 species
CCUACGGGAGGCAGCAGUGGGGAAUAUUGCGCAAUGGGCGAAAGCCUGACGCAGCGACUCCGCGUGAGGGAUGAAGGUCUUCGGAUCGUAAACCUCUGUCAGCAGGGAAGAACGGUCACUGUGCUAAUCAGCAGUGAAUUGACGGUACCUGCAAAGGAAGCACCGGCUAACUCCGGGCCAGCAGCCGCGGUAAUACGGAGGGUGCGAGCGUUAAUCGGAAUUACUGGGCGUAAAGCGCUCGUAGGCGGUAUGUCAAGUCAAGGGUGAAAGCCCCGGGCUCAACGGGGGAACUGCAUUUGAGACUGGCAGACUGGAGUGUGGGAGAGGUGAGUGGAAUUCCAGGUGUAGGGGGGAAAUGCGUAGAUAUCUGGAGGAACACCAGUGGCGAAGGCGACUAACUGGCACAUAACUGACGCUGAGGAGCGAAAGCGUGGGUAGCAAACAGGAUUAGAUACCCCUGUAGUC